CUCUUAUCCUGAGAUGGUGGAGGGAACAGGCCCUAUGAAACCCAGCAACCUACUACGAAUCAAUGGUUUUCCGUAGCAAGGUGCUAACCUGGUGCAAGGCAAUUGCCUUGGACGAUAAGAG
rfam:Virgibacillus soli strain PL205 scaffold000004, whole genome shotgun sequence.